AUGAGCAAUUUAAAAUAUGUGGUUUUUUUUUUGGUACAAAAUAUCUCGGUGCGUGAGGCGAACCGCUGCCUCACAUGCGGCAGAGAGACCCCGCUGCAUCGGAGCGGUAAGCGAGGAAUGGUCGUGGGAGUGCGUUCUUGCUCUCUCUCCUCCUUUCCUCCUCUCCGUUUGUCAAAGUCUAUAACGGAAGAUGAGGAAACCCUAACCCCAAUCUCGGACGAAUGGCGAACGGCAGCCUACCUCGAAGAAUUAUCAAGGAAACGCAGCGGCUGCUAAGCGAACCAGGAUUGUAUCUGUUUUGCUCUUCUAAUCUCGCCAUUUUUUUCUUUAUUUCUUGGUGAUCUUUUUGGUCGAUUGCCACCUUGGAAUGGAGAUGGAUGUCUAAUCUCUUUAAGCUUCUGGGAUCUGUGCCUCUCCCUGUAUGACAACAUGCGCUACUUCACUGUUAUGAUUCGCGGUCCGACACAGUCUCCCUAUGAAGCUGUUGCCUUACAAGUUAGAAAGUAGGUUUGUUUCUGCUCUUUCCCCUGCCAAUAGGCAUUUCAGUCAUCGAUACUGGUGGUCCAGUAACUGGAUCCUUUUUAUUAGCCUGCAGUAUUUCUUGGACCCUUCCAUCAUAGUUAUUUUCUAUGAGUUUUAGCUGUGCGUCCUUUCAGUUGUUAUUUUCUUUAUAACAGGUGUGCUUUCUCACAAAAAUAUAUCAUCCAAACAUUGACAAGGCAAGCAGACAAUUCCUUUUGUAUCUAUUAUAGCUCCAUAAAUGUCUUUACUCUUUCUGAAAGUUAUGUUUUGAUGAAUUUAGCUUGGAUGUAUAUGCCUUGAUGCACUCAAAGAUAAAUGGAGUCCUGCUUUUCAGAUCCAAACAGUUUUGUUGAAGUACUUUGUCCAAUUCUCUUGUGCCAUAUCUGUCCCACUUUCUGUCAUGGGCCUUAAAAAGUUUUGGGGGGCUUUCAUGGUUACUAUUAUGGCAAGCUCAUCAGGCCUCUUGCUAUCGUUAAUCUCAGACAAUAUUGCAAAGCAUUGAAAGACAAACGAAGCUGAAGCUGUAGAGACAGAAUUCUCAUCUAGUGAACCAAGUCAUGCAUAUCCACUUACUGAAUUUGUCGACUCCCAAGUCAUGCAUACGUGAACCAAAAGCCUGAGCUGCUCAUAUUGGAGAGGCAGAUUUAUUAACAGAGUUUUUAAAAGGAUCCUUGGAACCAGAAAUAAAGCAGAAAAUAUCAUUUGAAGACCAAAUUAAGACUGUAGAUUGUUGUCUUAUCCCCGUGAAUGAUUCAUAAGCCUUAGUUGGCCGUUAACUGUUCAUAUAUUGUGAGAAUUUUGUCAAGCAAGAAAAUGAAGCUGUUUCAAUGGACAUCUUUUGUAAGGUGAAUACUUAGAAAUCUUUUCUAAGAAGCAACAUGAAUUGCAAGGUUGUUGUGGUA